CCGGGUAGCUAUGAGAGUCCGUUGGUUUAUAAUAGACAUAGUGGGAUAAGCUGUUUCCGGAGAUAGAUACAGUGAGAUCGAGAAAGGGAAGUGUUGGAAAUGGACCAGGUGAAUUUGAGGGCCGGGUGGAAGUUGGAGGCUUCCAAAGUCCUCACCUCACCGGUGUGACUUUGUGACGCAGUUAAGAUUCAAACCUGGCGAAACUCCUUUAAUCAGCGUUAGUGCGUCCGGAAUGAUUCUUUGGAGUUAGACCCCACGGGGGUGAAUGGGUAUCCCAUUAUACAGGUAGUCCGAACCAGCUCAGGAACAUACAAGAUCGGAUUAGACUAUAGCAGUGAGCAAUAGAGCCAGAGAUAUUGGACGUCGUUAUGCUUCUGGAAGUGCAAAAUGUAAAGUGAAGGAAGAAAAAGAAAGAAGAAACCAGCUUGUGAUAUCAAAGACACUCAUAUCCCUGGUCACAGCAAUGGCCGUUCAUGUGAUCCAGAAAGCUGCCUUCUAUCUGGGAUUACGAUUUGGAGAUGUCUCUGAACCUGGCUGGCUGGCUCUUGCGGUUUCCAGUUGGUGGCACAUGUCCUAGCAGAUUGAAUGAAAUAUCUGUUUUGAUUCUUCAACCACCGACCACACAAUCUACUAAUUAACACAUCGUUGGGAUUUGGGAAGAAACCCUGCCACAGGGAGAAUGGGCAAAUAACCAAGAUUAUCAAUGCCGAGAGACAGCGAGCUGACACAAGUCCCUAAAUAUUCAGAUGUGGCUAUUUCCUCAAAAAUAAAAUGUUGCUCUAUGUCUCUCUUAUGAGGUAUCUAACAAAAGAAAAGAGAUUACAAUAUUUGACCACCACUGAAGAAAUGCAUGACAGAAUCCCAUAUGUAAGCUCACAAUAUUUCAAGAACUGUACACUCGGUGGCCACUUUACUUGGUACUUUAUGUAUGUUUGUGGUCUUCUGCUGCUGCAGCCUGUCUACUUCAAGGUUUGACGUGUUGUACAUUCAGAGAUGCUCUUCAGCACACCACUGUUGUAACGUGUAGUUAUUUGUAGUUAUCUGUCACCUUCAUGUCAACUUGAUCCACUCUGGACAUUCUCUUCUGGCCUCUCUCAUCAACAAGGUGUUUUCACCCACUGACCUGCCUCUCUCUGAUGUUUUUUUUUGUUUUACGCAUCAUUCUCUGUAAAUACUAGCAACUGUUGUGCAUGAAAAUCCCAGGAGAUUGGUGGUUUCUGAGAUACCCAAACCAUCGCAUCUGGCAUCAAAAACCAUUCCACGAUCAAAGUCACUCAGAUCACAUUUCUUCCUCAUUCUGAUGUUUGGUCUGAACAACAACUGAACCUCUUGACAAUGUCUUCAUAAUUGUAGGCAUUGAGUUGCAGCCACAUGAUUGGCUGAUUAGUAAUAAGCCUUUACAGGUGUACCUAAUAAAGUGGCCAUUGAGUGUAUGAAAAAUGAAACUGAAAAAUUCCAAUGAAGUUCCUUGCAGCUGCUGAUACUUGUUCGUGUGAAGUUGCUUCAUUCACCACAGCUACACCAGCAGUUCCUAAGAGAGGAAAGCAUGUUCCCAAGAGACCUGAACAGCCUGAUGGGUCAUGUUA